UGCCUAAUUGAGCUGACCAGGACUUUCAAUAAUAUGUUGAAUAGGAGCGGCAAGAGAAAGAAGGCAUACUUGUCUUGCGCCAGUUUUCAAAGGGAAUGUUUCCAGGUUUUGCCCAGUCAGUAUGAUAUUGGCUGGGGGUUUGUCAUAAAUAGCUCUUAUUAUUCUGAGAUACGUU